ensembl:lncRNA novel transcript
GGCCUGGGGUUCUGGCUCUGUCCCGUAUCAGCUAGGAAACCCAGGGCAAGCUACUUAAACUCUCAGAGGCUCAGCUUUUUCAUGAGCAAACAGGAAAACAGGGCUAAUGAUUAGUCCUUGGCUUAAAAUACAUACCGCGUGUGAAAUUGCAGGUAUAUAAUAGAUUCACUAAAUGAGAGCACAAAUAAUGUAUGUUUUCUGAACCAUCUGAGGGCGAGUUAUCAACACUUACUCUCCAAUGCGUCAUCACCCCCAACACUCCUGUGUAUUUCCUGCAAAUAAGGAUCUUCUCCUACAUGGUCAGUCCGAACAACCUUCAGUCACAACUGAGAAGGUCACAUGGUGCAUCACUGCCGCUCAGUCUCCCCAAGCCCAGUGAUUUCUUCACAAUUAGGGAUCUGAGACCCGCAGUAUGGCAGUGACAAGAUCCAAGUCUUGGGACACCUAGCCAGGAGGGAAGAAUUUGAGGGAGAGGUGGAAAAUAUGCGAGGCUGAACUGACCUUCAAGGACAAGAAGGCUGUGUUCAGAUAGACAGAGUUUGUCUUCUGGGAGAGGAGUGGGCUUAUCCAGGAUGAUCCCAAAGGCAGAUUGAGGACCAGUGGGAGGACAUCCUGAGAAAGCAGAUCCAGCUUUAGGCAAGGAAGGACUUCGUAACAGGCAGAGAGCCCAUGUUGGAAACAAGCAGCUCUGCAAGGUGUGGGCCCACUGUCUGACUCCCUGCGGGGCUGCUGCCUUGGAAGAGCCUCCUGCUUAGAGAGGUUCUCCUGCCGCCAGCUGUCUCUCCUGAGUCCUGAGCACCACAUCUCUGGACCGUCUGGAGCCUCCCCUCCCUUGGCUUACUGCUCCCACCACCCUCUCUCUCCACCUUGCAAGAGACACUCUCCCUCAUCCUGGGUCAUCACCCUCUUUAGAGGCGCCGCCUGGCCACGAGGUUGGAUAUGGGGGGUGGGCAGGAUCUUGGCCUUACUUGAUGCAGUGCACACCUCCAACAGGCAUCAGAUGGAGUGCAGCCGGGAGCAAGAUUCUCAUAGCAAUUACAAAGAUUCACAAGAAAAUGUGCCCUCCACUACACAGCUGUAAUUUACAUGCUUUCAAACUUGAUAUGGAAUGACUGUGGUUUCCCCUGAAAGAAGCAUCACUGAUCUCUGCACAGGAGAAACAAGGAUCUUGCUCUGUCACCUAGGCUGGAGUGCAAUGGCACACUCACGGCUCACUGCAGCGUCAAACUCCCAGGCUCAAGUGUUCCUCCUACCUCAGCCUCCUGAGUAGCUAGGACCACAGCACAGGCCCAGACACAAAGCAGAUGUGCAGUGGAGUGUGAAAGAGGCAGCCAACUCACUGGGGAGCUUCAGAGGGAGAUGGCCCAAAUUGCUGGGGCCUAAGAAUCUCCCGGAAUGAAGGAACAGUAGAAAGAACUGGAAGCCAAAUAUGGUGAUAGAGACUCUCAUCAAGGACACUGAGUAAACCAGAAACCUGCUUGGGCUCACGUUCCUUGUCUCUUCUUCUCAGAUCCAGGAAAGGAGCUGUCCAGGACAAUGAGGAUAGGCUGAGGAAAGACAGGCCACGGCCUUGCCUCUGUGCCAGCUCUCAUGGGCCAGGCAGAGUAUCCCAGGACAACUGCCUCCACAACCAGCUCCAUCCUUCAUCAGCAAUUCAGUACCUGAUUAACAAAUCUGUACCCCAGGAGGUUAUGCCAAGUCCAACUUCUUCCAGAGACCACAACAAUAAAUCCAAGCCACUGCUAAUGUCAUUUAUAAGCUGUGGGAUUAAAACAGAGAAGCAAUCAAUUAAUUAAAAUUAGCUCUUUAUUGAAACUAUAA